rnacentral:rRNA from 1 species
CCUACGGGAGGCAGCAGUGAGGAAUAUUGGUCAAUGGGCGCGAGCCUGAACCAGCCAAGUAGCGUGAAGGAUGACUGCCCUACGGGUUGUAAACUUCUUUUAUAUGGGAAUAAAACAGGGUAUGCAUACCCUCUUGUAUGUACCAUAUGAAUAAGGAUCGGCUAACUCCGUGCCAGCAGCCGCGGUAAUACUGAGGAUCCGAGCGUUAUCCGGAUUUAUUGGGGUUAAAGGGAGCGUAGGUGGAUUGUUAAGUCAGUUGUGAAAGUUUGCGGCUCAACCGUAAAAUUGCAGUUGAAACUGGCAGUCUUGAGUACAGUAGAGGUGGGCGGAAUUCGUGGUGUAGCGGUGAAAUGCUUAGAUAUCACGAAGAACUCCGAUUGCGAAGGCAGCUCACUGGACUGCAACUGACACUGAUGCUCGAAAGUGUGGGUAUCAAACAGGAUUAGAUACCCCAGUAGUC